GUCCAGGGGUGGGAAUCGAACCCACAACCUUCUGCUUACCAGGCAGGUGCCAUGUCCACUAGGCUACCCUGGA
rnacentral:tRNA from 1 species